GCGCUCACCGGCAGCACACAUACUAAAACUGGAAUGAUACAGAGAAGAUUAGCAUGGCCCCUGCUCAAGGAUGACAUGCAAAUUCAUAAAGCAUUCCAUAAAAAU
ensembl:snRNA U6 U6 spliceosomal RNA